AGAGUUUGAUCCUGGCUCAGGAUGAACGCUGGCGGCGUGCUUAACACAUGCAAGUCGAACGGUGAAAGAGAGCUUGCUCUCUGGAUCAGUGGCGAACGGGUGAGUAACACGUGAGCAAUCUGCCCCUGACUCUGGGAUAACAGCUGGAAACAGCUGCUAAUACCGGAUACGAGUUGCGAAGGCAUCUUCAGCAGCUGGAAAGAAUUUCGGUCAGGGAUGAGCUCGCGGCCUAUCAGCUUGUUGGUGAGGUAAUGGCUCACCAAGGCGUCGACGGGUAGCCGGCCUGAGAGGGUGACCGGCCACACUGGGACUGAGACACGGCCCAGACUCCUACGGGAGGCAGCAGUGGGGAAUAUUGCACAAUGGGCGAAAGCCUGAUGCAGCAACGCCGCGUGAGGGACGACGGCCUUCGGGUUGUAAACCUCUUUUAGCAAGGAAGAAGCGAAAGUGACGGUACUUGCAGAAAAAGCGCCGGCUAACUACGUGCCAGCAGCCGCGGUAAUACGUAGGGCGCAAGCGUUAUCCGGAAUUAUUGGGCGUAAAGAGCUCGUAGGCGGUUUGUCGCGUCUGCUGUGAAAACCCGAGGCUCAACCUCGGGCCUGCAGUGGGUACGGGCAGACUAGAGUGCGGUAGGGGAGAUUGGAACUCCUGGUGUAGCGGUGGAAUGCGCAGAUAUCAGGAAGAACACCGAUGGCGAAGGCAGAUCUCUGGGCCGUAACUGACGCUGAGGAGCGAAAGGGUGGGGAGCAAACAGGCUUAGAUACCCUGGUAGUCAAGGGCGAAUUCGUUUAA
rnacentral:rRNA from 1 species